rnacentral:rRNA from 1 species
UGGGGGAUAUUGCACAAUGGGCGAAAGCCUGAUGCAGCGACGCCGCGUGGGGGAUGAAGGCCUUCGGGUUGUAAACUUCUUUUGCUCUGAACAAGGCGCACCAUGGGGUGUGUUGAGUGUAGGGGUUGAUUAGCGCCGGCUAACUACGUGCCAGCAGCCGCGGUAAUACGUAGGGCGCGAGCGUUGUCCGGAAUUAUUGGGCGUAAAGGGCUUGUAGGUGGCUGGUUGCGUCUGUCGUGAAAGCUCAUGGCUUAACUGUGGGUUUGCGGGGGGUAGGGGCUGGCUUGAGUGAAGUAGGGGAGGCUGGAAUUCCUGGUGUAGCGGUGGAAUGCGCAGAUAUCAGGAGGAAUAACGGUGGCGAAGGCGGGUCUCUGGGCUGUUACUGACAGUGAGGAGCGAAAGCAUGGGGAGCGAACAGG